CAGCAUGCUAUCCUAAGGAUCUGAGCUAGUUUGUGGCUUAUGGUUCUCCAAGUGCGUGCAAGAACAUUGGGUGGUCUUUGACUGCUGAGGCACAUCUCUGCCUCCAGCGGCCACUCAGCCGUCCUACAGAU